rnacentral:rRNA from 1 species
GACAGAGGGGGCAAGCGUUGCUCGGAAUUACUGGGCGUAAAGGGCGCGUAGGCGGGAUGGCAAGUCGGUCGUGAAAUCCUUCGGCUCAACCGAAGAACGUCGAUCGAUACUGCUGUUCUUGAGGGUUGCAGAGGAGACUGGAAUUCCCGGUGUAGCGGUGAAAUGUGUAGAGAUCGGGAGGAACACCGGUGGCGAAGGCGGCUCUCUGGGACGUGACUGACGCUGAGACGCGAAAGCGUGGGGAGCGAACAGG